AUGUAAUGCAAUAUCAUUAAUGCAUCAAAUCCCAUUUGAAAUCUGCAAUUAAGUGUGCUUGGGCUAGAGUAGUAUUAGGAUGGGUGACCUCUUGGGAAGUCCUAGUGUUUUACAUG
rnacentral:rRNA from 1 species